rnacentral:lncRNA from 1 species
UUUACCAAAUCGUCAUUUCAGCCUGUUUCAUUUCUUUGUUUCUCAUCAACAUGUUGACUCUCUGAAGAGUCUCUUCUCUAGCUAGCUGUGUAAGAUUUUUGCUGAACGCUUAGGUAGGCAAACAUCACCCAACCCUAUCAAAUAAUGGAUGUUGGCAGUUCAGAGAAGGACAGGGGUUCUUGGAAUCUCACUUGAUGAAGCAGUAUUUCAUAAUAUGGUAAAAAUAUUCUUAUUCAAUAUGUGAAAUUACUUCAAAUUCCAGAAGAAGCCAGCUUCAGCAAUAUAUCAUUGAAUUUAUAUCUGAAAAAUGUACUAACCCCUCUAAUUGCACAAUGUGCAAAGCACUUUAAAAAAUAUAGUUUAUUCUGGCAAGAUAUGUUAGUAUGGGUCAGAGCAGCCAAGGGUCGCUUCUAGUGCUCUGUAUAUUUUAUUUACUAUCCAAUCAAAAGGCAUAGGUUAUGGUCCUUCUGAGAACUGUUUUUUAACCCAAACUAAAUUUUUAUGUUUUAGAUUAUUGUUAGUAAAAAUCUUAAUAAUUUGCCCUAAUUAGGUGGCCAAUUAGAGCAUAAUGUGGCUUUAGAAUAUUUUCAAGAUGUUUACAUGUUAUUGCAGUUUUGAACACGUUAAGCAAGUUAGGUUAACAACGUUGCCUCGUUGAACUCCUCAGGAAACUUGUGGUAAUAAACGUAUGAAAACCUCAGUCUA